rnacentral:lncRNA from 1 species
UACAAUAGAUACAAUAUAUAGUAACAACAAAAGUGAAGUAGGGACCUGGUCCUUGCGCUUGACACUCCGUUUCAUGAUGGCGAAAUAUUGUGCCAAGUUACAUUAUAAUCCCUCCAUGCAUGAAAGUAGUAUUGUAAAAUAAGGGUUUUGGCGUUUUGACCCCAUUUUGACCUUAACAUUUGAUUAAAACUGACCAAUGCUGACAAAUUAAAAAAACAAUCGGUUUGAUGACAAGGUCCACUCGCACAAUUAAAAAAAACCCCGCAUGUUUGAAAUCCAGUGAAGAAAACAUAUAUUUUAUUUAAAAUAUAUUUCAUUUAAAACCCGGAAGGAAACUUUAAACUUCACACUGAAAAACGAUUUACAAUAGUUUUGUCCUUAUUGGUAAAUGACGCAUGGUGUAUCGGAUUUACAACGCUAGCUUUAUGAAUGAAGUAUAGUAAAUAUUAUUCCCAAGUACUUUUAAAAGCCAACCAAUGAAAAUGCAUUGAUUUUCACUUCCGCAUCUAGAACACUCGUUUACGUAAAUGAGCAAAUAACUUUGUAUUGUUAAAUUAUACAACGAAAUAAGUGGAAUUAAACAUCUAAAAUGAGUAUGCAAGAAUUGUCAAGAGAUAUUAAUUAUCUAACUGGGUAUUUGAAAGAAAAAUAUCCCAACGACCCUGACAUACAAAAAGAAAGAAGAAUAACUGGAGAAAUUACACCUGGCGAUCUUCCAACUGUGGACAAAGGUGUCGAAAUUUUAAAAAGCCUUGAUAAAUUAAUCAACUCGGAUAAAAGAAAUUUAACUUUCAAUUCUUGUAACAAAGGAUAAGUCUUAAAAAUGUUAAAAGUGCUAACAAUAAAGGAAAAAAAGGGAUUUAGGGAGGUACUAAAGAAUUACGGCUAUAAUUAGCCUCAGAAAUCAUACCAUUUCCAUGUAACUUACUGACACCAGUACUGGCAAGUGCAGAGAGAGCUCCGAUGCCUAACGGACCUUAUAUUUUUGGAGCUAUUUUUGCAGCUACCGGAAGUACUGUUCGGCCUAACAGACCAGCCAAUGCACUAAUAAAACCUCUGUUUUGACCUUGACUGGACAUUUGUUUUUUGUUGUUUUUUUUUUUGAAAUUGUAAUUUCUAAUCCUUUCUUACUCCUAAUAGACUUUUCAAUUUGAUUAAUUUGUGUUUUUGUUAAAAGUAAAGGAAAGUUCCCACGUAAUUGUUUAUGUUUUAAUCUGAAAGCAUAUGGGAUCUUGUUGUUAUAGGCUUGUGCUAAACUUUUCUUUUGUCCAUCUGUCAAAUUUACUUUAUAUUCAAUAAAAUUUGAUGUCAUUA